UAUGGCUUUUCUGUUUUGUUCUAUCAAAUAACUUACAAUGUAAAUAUUUAUCAAUUUUUGCUUAUAAAAUGCAAUAUAUCUGAAGCCAUAAAAUCUUUGUUUCCCACAGAUUACUCCAGAUUCUUAAAGGUGAGAGGUGAGGUGACGCACGUCUGGCUGGCUGUGCGCGCGCACGCACGUACACACAAAGCAUCUCCUGUAGCUUUAAGCUGCGCUCACUCACUCACUCAGCCAGGGAGGGAUAGAGAGAGAAGGAGAAGCAGGAGGAGGAGUGUGAACAUUGCGGAGUUCUCGGGGAUUCCGAGAAUAUACAGUUCAGACUCAGACCCGACAGUCGGUGCUGGAGCCCGACGAGUUUUUGGACUCUACUUCCAUUUGGCGCGGCGCACGUCUGCGCGCAGGAAACGCUCAAGCUCGGUUAGCGGAAUCAGGUUCCCGUGUGGCCACGUCUGAGAUCAGAAGAGCAAACAGGCAACACUGAGCCUUUGGUUCUUCCCAGAGGAUCUCCCAAAUAUAGUGCUUCUGGUUCAUCAGGACAAAGAAACCUCCUCAUUCCUCUGGUUGUGCUUACAGCAUAUUUUAAAGCAUUGCGGAUUUACUCUUAGAAUGCGCAACAAUGGCAGGUGGGUUUUCGUGCUUGAAAUUACAAAUGCCCAGUGGUCCUGUAUGUAAAAUUCUUUGACUGAAAAGGACCAAAUUUCAAAGCACGGUUGGAGUUCUUUGCUCUCAUCAUUUAUGGCACAGAUCUUACUAACACAUUUUCAUUAGUUGUAAAACAUCACAUC
ensembl:lncRNA